UACGUAGGCAGCAAGCGUUGCUCGGAAUUACUGGGCGUAAAGAGUGUGUAGGCGGUGCUCUAAGUUCGGUGUGAAAGCCCUCGGCUCAACCGGGGAAGUGCACCCGAAACUGCGUGACUAGAGUCUCGGAGAGGAUCGUGGAAUUCUCGGUGUAGAGGUGAAAUUCGUAGAUAUCGAGAGGAACACCGGUGGCGAAGGCGGCGAUCUGGACGGUGACUGACGCUGAGACGCGAAAGCGUGGGGAGCAAACAGG
rnacentral:rRNA from 1 species